GACAGAGGGUGCAAACGUUGCUCGGAAUUACUGGGCGUAAAGCGCGUGUAGGCGGUUCGGUAAGUCCGCUGUGAAAGUCGGGGGCUCAACCCUCGGAAGCCGGUGGAUACUGUCGGGCUAGAGUACGGAAGAGGCGAGUGGAAUUCCUGGUGUAGCGGUGAAAUGCGCAGAUAUCGGGAAGAACACCCGUGGCGAAGGCGGCUCUCUGGGACGGUACUGACGCUGAGACGCGAAAGCGUGGGGAGCGAACAGG
rnacentral:rRNA from 1 species